UAGAUGAAAGCCAAAAAGAGGCGCCUAGCUGUUAAUUAGGAGAUUGUAGUAGAAUCUACUCAUUUAG
rnacentral:tRNA from 1 species